rnacentral:misc_RNA from 1 species
UUGCAUCCUUAACCCCAUCAUUCUGAGAGGCUCCAACCAGACCGUUGCUAGAUUUUACUUUCCAUGAAUAUAAAUCAAGCACAGUAUCCUCUGAACCUUGAGAAAAGGUGAAGUUCCUGUCACUUGUUCCAACUGCAUCAUUUGAUUUAUUCCUCUCUCCAAACGUAUAAUCAUUUUUCCAUUUGCCUUCGGCACCAUUUCUAGCACUUCCACACUCUAUUUCCUUCACAAUAAGUUCCUUGGAAACAUCAAGAUUAAUUUGCGAACCUGUCG